rnacentral:lncRNA from 1 species
CUUUUUGUUACAAAAGUGGAGAUCUACACGGAGGCGACGGCCUAGGUCGCUCUGACAGGACCCAACGACCCUCCUGACGCGUCCACCCGUCCUCGCUAGCAGGGUCCCCCAGCGGGCUCUCGACCUGCGCCACCAGAGUUCCACUCUUUUUGUCGACAAUAAUAUGGCGCCCAAACACGUGGGGCCUCAGAGAAGACUCUGGAUCCGGAAGGAGUAUCCCAAAACCAGAGCUAAGGUACCAGCUGGAGCCCACUGAAGCCUCACCGAGUUUGGGCUUCUCCUCCUGUGGAACUGGAAACCAAAAUCAUGGUAUUUUGAAAACCAGAGGUAUGAAUCUCCCUCGUUUGGCAUCCCACUGGGCCUGGACCUGUUUCACUGCUAAUGUUCUGCUGCCAAAACUAUACAAGCUGCCUGGACUAUUGCAGAAGAGGGCCACUCAGGGAAGCACAGAGACAGAAUGGCAGACAGAAAGAGGACUGGAGGGUGACUAUUGUGGUUUUCCUGGGAAAAAAAUGGGAGAAGAAAAGUAAGCAAGUUAAACAAGUUGAAUAUUAAAUAGUUUGAAUAACUUGUAUAAUUCAGUGAGGUCUCAGCUAUAGGUUGGUCCCUAGUUGUUAGGCCCUGAUCCUGGGGUGACUAAACCGGAGGGACAGUGUCACAGAUUGCUCACAAGCAAAUUGUUUACUGUCUCUAAGAAGUAACCCUGUAAAAAGCAGUCCCUCCCUGGCUCUACAAAGUCCUAGGUGCCACA